UACGAAGGGGGCUAGCGUUGUUCGGAAUUACUGGGCGUAAAGCGCACGUAGGCGGAUACUUAAGUCAGGGGUGAAAUCCCGGGGCUCAACCCCGGAACUGCCUUUGAUACUGGGUAUCUCGAGUCCGGAAGAGGUGAGUGGAAUUCCCAGUGUAGCGGUGAAAUGCGUAGAUAUUGGGAGGAACACCAGUGGCGAAGGCGGCUCACUGGACCGGUACUGACGCUGAUGCGCGAAAGCGUGGGGAGCAAACGGG
rnacentral:rRNA from 1 species